GCUGGGCGUGGUGGCUCAUGCCUGUAAUCCCAACACUUUGGGAGGCUGAGGUGGGUGGAUCACCUGAGGUCAGGAGUUUGAGACUAGCCUGGCCAACAUGGUGAAACCCCAUCUCUA
rnacentral:SRP_RNA from 1 species